GGGAUUCCAGCCUGAUUCCAGCAGGAUUCCAGUGGGAUACCAGCCUGAUUCCAGCGGGAUUCCAGCCAGACUCCAGCCCGAUUCCAGCCCUUGGAUUCCAGCCCAAUUCCAGCCCAAUUCCAGCCUGAUUCCAGUGGGAUUCCAGCCUGAUUCCAGCGGGAUUCCAGUGGGAUACUAGCCUGAUUCCAGUGGGAUUCCAACCAGCUUCCAACCCUUGGAUUCCAGCGGGAUUCCUGUGAGAUUCCAAGCAAAUUGCAGCCCGAUUCCGACCAGAUUCCACGUAGAUUCCAGCCCCUGGAUUUCAGCUGGAUUCCAGCCUGAUUCCAGUGGGAUUCCAACUAGAUUCCAGCCCUUGGAUUCCAACGGGAUUCCAGCCCGAUUCCACCUGGUUCCAGCCCAAUUCCAGCCUCAUUCCAACUGAAUUCCAGCCUCAUUCCAGCCCUUGGCUCUGUAGCUCCCUCUUCCUUCGUUACCAGCCCCCGUUAUUCCAUUUUUAAGGUUAUUUUCGGUGUUUUUAUUCCAGGCAGGAAACUGUCCCUUCCCUCCCCUUUGUUCCUCUCAGCCUCGGGUUCAAAAGAAUUAAAAUAAUAAAAAAAAAAGAGAAUAAUAAAACCCCCACAACUCUCACUCAACUAUGCACAUGGAGAUCCUGCGGGAAAUGUCCCUCCCGGCAGGAGGAGUUCCUGUUCCUGCAGCUCCUGAAGGAUCCCUGGAGCUUUUCCCCGUGUGACUCAUUCCCGUCCCAUUCCCCCGGCGCUGGGAAAGGCUCCUGGGGCAGGAGGAGGAGGGUUGGGCUCCAGGGGGGGGUUUAUUCCCGGUGUUAUGCCCAGCUCAGCAUUCCCGGCCGGAGCCGAGGGGGGAACUGCGGCUCCCGAGCUCCCAAGCCGCGGAUUCCCGGGCGUUUCUGGGGAUGGGGAGGGGGGGAUGAUCCCGUCCUGCCUUUCCCAAGGCCCUCCCAGCCCCGGUUUUCCUGAGCCUGCCUUUCCUUUGUCCGGGUGGUGCCAAAUCCCACGUUUCCCCGCCUGCUCCCCGUGUUCCUCUGCUGAUCCCUGUCUGCAUCCAGCCCCUUUUCCCAGUUCUGUCCGUGUCCAGUUGGAUCUGUUGGAUUUGUUGGCGGUUAUUAAAACGGUGAGUGAAGCCUUU